GAGUUUGAUCCUGGCUCAGAGUGAACGCUGGCGGCGUGCCUAAUACAUGCAAGUCGAACGAUGAAGCUUCUAGCUUGCUAGAAGUGGAUUAGUGGCGCACGGGUGAGUAAUGCAUAGGUUAUGUGCCCUUUAGUCUGGGAUAGCCACUGGAAACGGUGAUUAAUACUGGAUACUCCCUACGGGGGAAAGGGGCUUUCAAUAAAGAAUCUCUCUUUUUAGUGUUUUGUGUUGUUGGCACAAAAUUCUAGUAUUUGGAAUGAGAAAUUGAUGUUGUGAAGCAAUUUGUGCGGAGACUAGACUUAGUGUCUGUCGCACAAGCAAAUUGCGAACUCAUCGAUUUAUCGUCCAAAGACGAAUUUUUUAUUGAAAGCCUUCGCUAAAGGAUCAGCCUAUGUCCUAUCAGCUUGUUGGUGAGGUAAUGGCUCACCAAGGCUAUGACGGGUAUCCGGCCUGAGAGGGUGAUCGGACACACUGGAACUGAGACACGGUCCAGACUCCUACGGGAGGCAGCAGUAGGGAAUAUUGCUCAAUGGGGGAAACCCUGAAGCAGCAACGCCGCGUGGAGGAUGAAGGUUUUAGGAUUGUAAACUCCUUUUGUAAGAGAAGAUUAUGACGGUAUCUUAAGAAUAANCACCGGCUAACUCCCGUGCCAGCAGCCGCCGUAAUACNGAGGGGUGCCAGCGU
rnacentral:rRNA from 1 species